GACGAACGCUGGCGGCGUGCUUAACACAUGCAAGUCGAACGGAAAGGCCCUGCUUUUGUGGGGUGCUCGAGUGGCGAACGGGUGAGUAACACGUGAGUAACCUGCCCUUGACUUUGGGAUAACUUCAGGAAACUGGGGCUAAUACCGGAUAGGAGCUCCUGCUGCAUGGUGGGGGUUGGAAAGUUUCGGCGGUUGUGGAUGGACUCGCGGCUUAUCAGCUUGUUGGUGGGGUAGCGGCUUACCAAGGCUUUGACGGGUAGCCGGCCUGAGAGGGUGACCGGCCACAUUGGGACUGAGAUACGGCCCAGACUCCUACGGGAGGCAGCAGUGGGGAAUAUUGCACAAUGGGCGGAAGCCUGAUGCAGCAACGCCGCGUGCGGGAUGACGGCCUUCGGGUUGUAAACCGCUUUCGCCUGUGACGAAGCGUGAGUGACGGUAAUGGGUAAAGAAGCACCGGCUAACUACGUG
rnacentral:rRNA from 1 species